GAUGAAACGCAGCGAAAUGCGAUACUUGGUGUGAAUUGCAGAAUCCCGUGAACCAUCGAGUCUUUGAACGCAAGUUGCGCCCGAAGCCAUUAGGCCGAGGGCACGCCUGCCUGGGCGUCACACGUCGUUGCCCCCCCAUCUACUCCUUCGGGAUUGCGGGGGGCGGAUGAUGGCCUCCCGUGCGCCUCGUCGCGCGGUUGGCAUAAAUGCCAAGUCCUCGGCGACGCACGCCACGACAAUCGGUGGUUGCGAAACCUCGGUUGCCCGUCGUGUGCGGUCGUCGCGCAUCGAGGGCUCGAAAAAAUUGCCGGGCUCCGGCUCGGCUUUCAACGCGACCCCAGGUCAGGCGGGGUUACCCGCUGAAUUUAAGCAUAUCAAUAAGCGGAGGA
rnacentral:misc_RNA from 1 species